AUUGAACGCUGGCGGCAGGCCUAACACAUGCAAGUCGAGCGGAGCGGCGGACGGGUGAGUAAUGCAUAGGAAUGUGCCUAGUAGCGGGGGAUAACGUCGGGAAAGGGGCGCUAAUACCGCAUACUAUCAGAUGAGCCUAGGUCGGAUUAGCUAGUUGGUGGGGUAAAGGCCUACCAAGGCGACGAUCCGUAGCUGGUCUGAGAGGAUGAUCAGUCACACUGGGACUGAGACACGGUCCAGACUCCUACGGGAGGCAGCAGUGGGGAAUAUUGGACAAUGGGCGAAAGCCUGAUCCAGCCAUGCCGCGUGUGUGAAGAAGGUCUUCGGAUUGUAAAGCACUUUAAGUUGGGAGGCGUUACCAACAGAAUAAGCACCGGCUAACUUCGUGCCAGCAGCCGCGGUAAUAC
rnacentral:rRNA from 1 species